rnacentral:rRNA from 1 species
AUUGAACGCUGGCGGCAGGCCUAACACAUGCAAGUCGAACGGUAACAGGAAGAAGCUUGCUUCUUUGCUGACGAGUGGCGGACGGGUGAGUAAUGUCUGGGAAACUGCCUGAUGGAGGGGGAUAACUACUGGAAACGGUAGCUAAUACCGCAUAACGUCGCAAGACCAAAAAGGGGGACCUUCGGGCCUCCUGCCAUCGGAUGUGCCCAGAUGGGAUUAGCUAGUAGGUGGGGUAACGGCUCACCUAGGCGACGAUCCCUAGCUGGUCUGAGAGGAUGACCAGCCACACUGGAACUGAGACACGGUCCAGACUCCUACGGGAGGCAGCAGUGGGAAUAUUGCACAAUGGGCGCAAGCCUGAUGCAGCCAUGCCGCGUGUAUGAAGAAGGCCUUCGGGUGUUAAGUACGUUUACAGUCGGGGAGGAAGGGAGUAAAGGUU